AUUGAACGCUGGCGGCAGGCCUAACACAUGCAAGUCGAACGGUAACAGGAAACAGCUUGCUGUUUCGCUGACGAGUGGCGGACGGGUGAGUAAUGUCUGGGAAACUGCCUGAUGGAGGGGGAUAACUACUGGAAACGGUAGCUAAUACCGCAUAACGUCGCAAGACCAAAGAGGGGGACCUUCGGGCCUCUUGCCAUCAGAUGUGCCCAGAUGGGAUUAGCUAGUAGGUGGGGUAACGGCUCACCUAGGCGACGAUCCCUAGCUGGUCUGAGAGGAUGACCAGCCACACUGGAACUGAGACACGGUCCAGACUCCUACGGGAGGCAGCAGUGGGGAAUAUUGCACAAUGGGCGCAAGCCUGAUGCAGCCAUGCCGCGUGUAUGAAGAAGGCCUUCGGGUUGUAAAGUACUUUCAGCGGGGAGGAAGGGAGUAAAGUUAAUACCUUUGCUCAUUGACGUUACCCGCAGAAGAAGCACCGGCUAACUCCGUGCCAGCAGCCGCGGUAAUACGGAGGGUGCAAGCGUUAAUCGGAAUUACUGGGCGUAAAGCGCACGCAGGCGGUUUGUUAAGUCAGAUGUGAGAUCCCCGGGCUCAACCUGGGAACUGCAUCUGAUACUGGCAAGCUUGAGUCUCGUAGAGGGGGGUAGAAUUCCAGGUGUAGCGGUGAAAUGCGUAGAGAUCUGGAGGAAUACCGGUGGCGAAGGCGGCCCCCUGGACGAAGACUGACGCUCAGGUGCGAAAGCGUGGGGAGCAAACAGGAUUAGAUACCCUGGUAGUCCACGCCGUAAACGAUGUCGACUUGGAGGUUGUGCCCUUGAGGCGUGGCUUCCGGAGCUAACGCGUUAAGUCGACCGCCUGGGGAGUACGGCCGCAAGGUUAAAACUCAAAUGAAUUGACGGGGGCCCGCACAAGCGGUGGAGCAUGUGGUUUAAUUCGAUGCAACGCGAAGAACCUUACCUGGUCUUGACAUCCACGGAAGUUUUCAGAGAUGAGAAUGUGCCUUCGGGAACCGUGAGACAGGUGCUGCAUGGCUGUCGUCAGCUCGUGUUGUGAAAUGUUGGGUUAAGUCCCGCAACGAGCGCAACCCUUAUCCUUUGUUGCCAGCGGUCCGGCCGGGAACUCAAAGGAGACUGCCAGUGAUAAACUGGAGGAAGGUGGGGAUGACGUCAAGUCAUCAUGGCCCUUACGACCAGGGCUACACACGUGCUACAAUGGCGCAUACAAAGAGAAGCGACCUCGCGAGAGCAAGCGGACCUCAUAAAGUGCGUCGUAGUCCGGAUUGGAGUCUGCAACUCGACUCCAUGAAGUCGGAAUCGCUAGUAAUCGUGGAUCAGAAUGCCACGGUGAAUACGUUCCCGGGCCUUGUACACACCGCCCGUCACACCAUGGGAGUGGGUUGCAAAAGAAGUAGGUAGCUUAACCUUCGGGAGGGCGCUUACCACUUUGUGAUUCAUGACUGGGGUGAAGUCGUAACAAGGUAACCGUAGGGGAACC
rnacentral:rRNA from 1 species